rnacentral:rRNA from 1 species
UACGUAGGGGGCAAGCGUUAUCCGGAUUUACUGGGUGUAAAGGGAGCGUAGACGGCAGGGCAAGUCUGGAGUGAAAGGCAGGGGCCCAACCCCUGGACUGCUCUGGAAACUGUCCGGCUGGAGUGCAGGAUAGGUAAGUGGAAUUCCUAGUGUAGCGGUGAAAUGCGUAGAUAUUAGGAGGAACACCAGUGGCGAAGGCGGCUUACUGGACUGUAACUGACGUUGAGGCUCGAAAGCGUGGGGAGCAAACAGG